AUAAUACGCUAAAAGUAAAUAAUGUAGCAAUAGACAUAUUAGCAAUCACUGCUAUUAUUUUAACUAGACAUCAGUGUGCUAUUAUAGCUGCUAUUGCUAGGUAUUUCUUACCAUCACUAGUUUCUCGUUUCUCGUUCGAGUUGUGCGGGUGAAGGGGAAACGGUUUCGUUGUGUCCGCGGCUAUUGCGUUCGUUUUCGGGAUUCAACACACAAUGUCGUCCUGCAGAUAAUAGUGUCCAACUCUGUAUCCAAUUUUGUGUCUUCUUGAGCGUUUGUUCUUUUUCUGAAAUAUACCCAGGUACAUUUUUCCGCGAAAGAAAUAUUAAAUACCGUGCGCCCGCCGUCCGUGUAAUAGUAAAGUUCGCGCGCCGUUUACUCGUCGUCGGUCGUGAUAAGAGGUUUUCUUUCCUCUCUGACACCCGUUUCGGUACUUAAUAAUUUAAUUUCAUGACGACCAAACGGAUCGGUUGUCCUACACCUACUCCUACUCCUACACCUACUACCAUUUGACUAUGGAGGCGAAUCGUCCCAUCGCAGGUAUACCGUAUUGUCCGACUCGUCGGACGGCGCGAUGCUAGUUGUGAAGCACAACCAUGUCGCGGUGUGCUUGCUGCUGGUCCGGUCGGCGUUCGGAUACUUGCUGGUCGUACCCGACAUGGACUCAACGGGGUUGGUUCUGUUCGACGGCGGCAUACGGUUCUACGACCGGCCGGCCAGACGGUAUGCGUUGAACCCGGAAAAGAGGUAUGACUUUGUCGCCAUACUGCUGUGCGUCGACCACUACACUGGAUCGGUUAUACUCAAACGGCCGUUGGAAUGCGAUGGUUUCAAGUAUUCAGACGUGUUUACAUUCUAUGUGGAUUCUACUUCGAACCACACACUGAAAUAUAUGUCCGUACCGUUGAGAAUGGUUAUCAAGGGAUGCGAAAAAAACAGAUGUUCGAAUUGGUCACAGUGGAGGAAUUAUUGUAAAUACCUGAACUUAUGAUAUGCGUUAGUGAAAAUUGUGAACAAGAUAACCCCUGCAAUGGAAAUAAAUGCUUCCUAUGGUCCAAAGCAUAGCAAGUGUAUACCUUUGUGGCAAAACUAUACAUGCAAAUGUCAUACAGGAUUUGUGGGAAUAGCUUAUGAAAGUGUGUGUCAUACUAACCCUUGCGAAAACAAUGCUCUGUGCAUUGAAGAUCGGAAGAGCCUUUGUGUUUAUCGUUUUUAAUGUAAUUAGACUUCGUUUACUGGUGAUUACUGUGAGCAUGAACUCAAAGAGUCAUGUCCUGUUAGCUGGUGGGAUUAUCAUCAUGGAGUUUGUGGUCUAUAUAACUGUAUGGUGGAAAAUGGUUAUAACCCCCACUCUAAUAAAACCACUGCACAAUGUUAUUGCAAAGACAAUCAUUACAUUCCUCAUGGUUCUGAUAAAUGUCUUGAGUGUGGUUGCUACAAUGUUGGUUUUUUUGAUCGUUCUUGUGAUCAAACUACUGGACAAUAUAAGUGUCGUUCUGGUGUUAUAGGUUUCAGGUGUGACCAAUUUCCAAAUUCCUGUGAGGAAGUCACAUUAAAUGGAUGUGAAGUUAUCUAUUAGUUUUCUAUGACUGCUGUCCAAAGAGUAUAGCAGGUAAUAUUUGGUGGCCUAGAGCGAAAUGGGGUGAACAUGUAACUGAAGAGUGCCCAAUCAGUUCUCAAGGCAAAGACACACGCUUAUGUCAAAAUACUUUAGUUGGAUGGCAAUACCCUGACAUAUUCAAUUGCACUUCCAACUCAUUUGUUGAUAUUUAGAGACUCCUAUUGGUUUAUAUGUAGUUUCAGCUGAGAGUCUAUUUGGGUUUGAACUGGAACAUGAACGACCAGAUUUGUCGAUUUCUGCAUUGACAGAAGAGAAAGUAAAUUUACCCAACUCAUCUAUACUUCAACCAGCUAUACAAGUUUUGAGUCUAAAACCUGGUUCAGAUAUAUUAGGUUCAAUAAAUAUGGGUAGCCAUGUUGUUGUUUUACCUAAAUGUAUCAACUAUUUUUUGGAUUUUUCAAAGUUUGAUAAACAUACCCAAAUAACGGUGCCGAUCGAUUUACUGGGUAUUGAGCUAUUAAAACAUGGAAUGACCACUACGAAAGGACAACUAUCUAAAAAUGCAGCUAUUGUUGGUUAUGUACAGUAUCAUACUAUUGAGUGUUGUUACCAUUACGUUACGAUGACACUGUUUUAAGGAGGUAUUCUGUAGAUCUCCAAGUGGGUUCUCCAGUUAUAUCAUUUAUUCCUACUCUGAAUCACAAUAAUCCUAAAAGAAAACAACAGCACUUAAAUGGUAAAGAGAUUUCAGUGUUAUCUGACAUGGUGCCUUUGGAUUCACCGAUUCGUAUCAAGGUUUGGAUUAACAAAAACCCAGUUACAUGGAGAUCCAAUCCAAUGUGUAUGGUGGUCAACAUCUAGAGUAAUCAAUAUUCAAUUAAGGAACACAUUGACAACAAUAAGUAAUUAUGACCAUUCAACAUCAGACUUGCCAUCAAGUUUUCACCGAACGCAACAUAAAUCAGAUUCAGAUUUUGAAGGUUCAGGUGAAGAAAGAAGUUUAGACUUAGCUUCUUCCCAUAGUAGUGAUGAGGAUGAUUCUUCUCGCCACAGAGGUCGUAGAAGUAAUACUUCUUCGAAUUGACCACCUCCAUUUUUACCAAAUAUAAAUGAAGAUCCUGGAUUGCCUCCUUCGCUCUAUGUAAUUACAAUUUCACAAUUGUUUCCAAAUUUAAAACCUCUGUAUGCUCCACGAUGUACUAGUCAACAAUAUCCAACAGUUCAAGAAGAAGACCAUGCAGUUGGAAAACAUCGUUGGACAGGAUUAACAAUAUAUGAUCAGGACAAUUCAGUGACAAAGAAUCAAAUGUCUCUUGAACCACCAUCGUUAUACAGUGAAUACUUUGGUUAGCAUCACAAGAGCUCAACAUUCAAUUCUCUGAACAAAACAGAAUCGUUUUUCUUAUACAAUGAUUUAUAUCAAUCAAUUCAAAUUUAACACCAUUCAUUUCAGUGACCUACUUGUAACAUAAUGUACAGCAGAGCAACACCCACUUGCCACCUUUUUUUUUUUAUCUAAUUUUUUGAAAUUAUUUAAAUCCAUAACCCUGGUUAAAACAAAAUCUAUAUACUUUUCGUACUAUACAUCAAAUAUUAAUUAAUUGUACAAUCAUUCUAAAUUAGUUUUUUAUUUUUUUUGAAAUUUAGGAAGAAUUUGAGUGAAACUCCGGUGUAAUGUGAAUUAAUAUACAGUAGAAAUUCAACUAAUUGUGGUCUUUCUUUUCUCCCUAUCAAACUGUAACAUUUAAUCCUGUUCAAUAAUAAGUGUACAUUUUCAGAAAUUUAGCAUAUUCAUUUUUAUUCCUUCCUUUUUUACUCCACACACUAAAUAAGUAUGAACAUUUUAUGGUCUCAAUUAUUAUAUUUUUUUUUUGUAUUUAAGGUUAUAUUUCAAUUUUAUAAAUAAGUCAUAUUAUGUAUACAGUAAAAUACCUAGUUCCUACCAUUUUUUUUUUUAUAAAAGUUAAGGCUAGGGUUUGCGAUUGUUGUUGUAUUCUCAAUUAGUAAUUAUAUGCAAGUCAAUCAAUUAUGUUUAUGAAUAGAAUAUUAUGUAACUAUAUGACAUAAUAUUAUGCAUUUUAUAAUAAUCUUCUCGCAAGCUUUAGUCGGCGUAGCCCAGUAACCAAUCAGUCACCCUCCCACUACCAUGGACCUUGUACAGACAAACAAUUAUAUAUCAGUGGUCAUCAAAUGGCGGCCGUGGGCCAUAUCCGGCCUGCGGACAAAUUUUAUCCAGCCCGCAGAUAAUGAAACAAAUUUACAAACCGACAAUAAUAAGCACAUAAUAAUAUGUAUUUGUUUGAUUGGCCACCCAAUAGUUGUAGUUGUUUUUAAAGUUUUCAAUAUUAAACAUUAUUAUGAGACUUCAUAUAAAAUAUUAAGUGCACAAAUCAUACACAAAGCAUACAAUUUCAUGUAGUUAGUUGAGAGCAACACUCGCCAUUUUUCUCAAUAAUUUUAACCCAAUUUUCUAUUUACAUUAUAAUUAUUAUAAAUUUGUAGGUAUUUGUAUUUUAUUGUAAUUAAUUUAAUCGGGUAAUUAUUAUUUUAUUUCCACUGGGCCACUAUCACUAUGUUACUGUUGCAUUAUAAUAAGUAAUAUGUUAAGAAUAUUUGCUUUGCAUUUUGAUGGCCCCUGAAAAUUUUCAAUCUCACAUAUAAUGAACACAUAUCUUUAUGAACAUUCCAAUUGACGUAACGUUGAAUGUGAUUAUUUUAUUUUAUUAAUUUAGACAUAUAGUUAUAUUUAUAUAUAUUUCCCUUUUAGUGCCAUACUGCCCGAGUUGGUAUAAUCAUUUUUGAUACGUAGGCCUAAGUUUUAUUUUUAAUUUCCACAAAAGUACAUUCACAAAAUGUUGAUAAUCAAAUUUUUUUAACUAACAAUCAUCAUAUUUUUUAUAAAUUUUAUAAAGAUCAUUGCGUUUGAUCAUUUAACAUCAUGCUCAAUAUUAACCUAGUUAUGACCGUUAUUGAUGAUAUUUGUACAAAUUGAGUAUAAUAAUUGUGAUUCAUCCAUUUUUUAAAUUUAACAUUCCAAAAGAGUUAUUUUAGUU